GCCAGGUGCGGUGGCUCACGCCUGUAAUCCCAGCACUUUGAGAGGCUGACGUGGGCGGAUCACUUGAGGUCAAGAGUUUGAGACCAGCCUGGUCAACAUGGUGAAACCCUGUCUCUACUAAAAAUACAAAAAUUACCCAGGCAUGGUGGCAUGUGCCUGUAAUCCCAGCUACUCAGAAGGCUGGGAUUUUUAGUAGAGACGGGAUUUCACCAUGUUGGCCAGGCUGGUCUCGAACUCCUGACCUCAAGUGAUCCACCCACUUCAG
rnacentral:SRP_RNA from 1 species